UGAAUCUUGUUACGGUUCUUUUUAUUGCUUGAUAUAAUAUACAGGAAAAUUAUCGUUAAUCGGCUGAUUCGGUCGCCGAUAAAUGUAAACACGAUUUAGGAAAGCAGUACAUUAUAAAUUAAAAUUUUGCAUUUGUUGCUGAUUCAUUUGAAUCUGUUGAUAAAACAUAAAUUCGUACGCAUGUUUGGUUUGCUUACAUUUUUUAAUUUGAUAUGUUCAGUUUAUUUUCGGGUUUUAUACGUUCUAGUGAUCGGACAACGAAGAAAUUAUAUGAAACGUGAUAAGUACACAGAAACAACGGGCGUUUCUUCUUUAAGAUACAAGGUACAUACUUUUAUGUCAAAUUGGUCACAGACUGAAUGUUUCUGUUUUUAUACUAUUGAAGUUUUAAAAUAAAGCAAUAAGACUUUAUUCAUGUAUUGAUUUUACGCUGCAUUUAUCAGUCUAGAGUUUACUUUAUUUUUUUUUCAUAUCUGAUGAGAAAAUUGGUGAGUUCAAGGCAAAAGGAUUAAAAUAAAGUUUAAAAAUUUUCAAGAAAUGCAAUUAAGAAAUGCAUUUAGAAAUGACCAAUAUAAUAUCUUUUUGAUUUUAUUGUUAACCGUGUUGACCUUGUUUAUAUUUGUGUCAAUCAUGUUGUAGUCUUACAUUAGAAAUUAAUUGUUAAAUUAACUAUUACAG
rnacentral:sRNA from 1 species